CCCUUAGAUGUUCUGGGCAGCACGCGCGCUACAAUGGUCUUCGCAAACGGAUGCAUUCUCGAAGGAGAAUGCCAAUCUUGGAAUCUAUGCCUUGGUCGGGACAGUUGCUUGCAAUUUUUCGACUCGAACCAGGAAUUCCUUGUAAUCGUGAUUCAUCACAUCACGAUGAAUACGUCCCUGCCCUUUGUACACACCGCCCGUCGCUCCUACCGAUCGAAGAGUUAGGUGAAUUGUUUUUAUCGAUAAGAUUUGACUAUGGUCAACUCUCGUUGUGAAAUUCUGUGAAUCUGACUGUUUAGAGGAAGGAAAAGUCGUAACA
rnacentral:rRNA from 1 species